UAUGAAAGGGUUAACGAGGAAGAUGCUGUGUCUAAAAACCUAGUUUAAACUAACUUAAAGGUGAAGAGGCCUUUAUAAGAAAGAAGGACGACAAGACCCUAUGAAGCUUUAUCUUAUUAGGGAUUUGAAAGAUCCUUAUACGAUUUUGAUGGGAGAUCAGUAAAAAUAAGUCUUUUACCAUUAUUUUUAUCUUACAAGUGUUUCCUAAUUUUAUAUGUGUGACUAGCUACUCUAGGGAUAACAGCGCAAUUUCUCCCGAAAGAUGGUAUUGGAGGGGAAGAUUGCGACCUCGAUGUUGGC
rnacentral:rRNA from 1 species